GUGCAGCAGGCGCGAAAACUUUACAAUGCUGGCAACAGCGAUAAGGGGACCUCGAGUGCCAGGAUACAAUCUUGGCUGUCGUGAUGCCUAAAAAGCAUUACAUAGCAAGGGCCGGGCAAGACCGGUGCCAGCCGCCGCGGUAACACCGGCGGCUCGAGUGGUAACCGCUAUUAUUGGGUCUAAAGGGUCUGUAGCCGGCCGACUAAGUCUCUUGGGAAAUCUGGCAGCUCAACUGUCAGGCUUUCAGGGGAUACUGGUCGGCUCGAGACCGGGAGAGGUGAGAGGUACUUCAGGGGUAGGG
rnacentral:rRNA from 1 species